UUAUGUUGUAAUCAAGGCAUGAUUUCUGAACAUCAUAAAGGCAUCAAUCACUAAACACUUCCUCAAGAUGUCUACAAUGUACCAAAUGUGGGAAGAAGUCUAGAGGACUCACUCAAAGAAGCACAAUGAUGCUCAAAUAUGUAAAUUAGUAUUGAAGUCCAUGAAUUUGGUUCAAGGUAAUUACAACAUCUUUUAAUAUGCUCUUAAACUUGAACAUAUAUGGAGCAUUAUAUUCUUAUUAAAAACCCAAACUUUAAAGAGUG
rnacentral:lncRNA from 1 species